GCAAUGACUCGGAGACGGCUAACGAGUCCAUCUUAACGCCCUGUUGUAGCAAAUGUUGCAUGAACCUUGUCUGUAGCUUACAGAUGAGGGAACAGACCCAGACAAGUGAAGAUGCGUGGUUAAGGUCAUCUGGUGAGAAAGUUAUCAGGGCAGGGAUCCGAGCUUAAACAAUCUCUCACUGAGGCGCAGUGUGCUAACACUGCAGCUUUCGUAGGGAGGAUCGUGGAGAGAAGGGAAGAACGUCCGUGGUGUCUUCUGGCAGAGGUCUGUGAGGCGGCGCUAGUUCUCAGAGAGCUCUCAGUACGAACAGCGAUUCCACCAGCCUGUGUUGAGCCCAGGCCUUGCAAGCUCAGCUGCCCACAGCACCCAGGCAGCUCACAGAAAUGAGGCGAGCAAGUCAGCUCUUGAAACCCAGCCAUCUUGCUGUGAGGAGGCCCCAGCAGCCCGCCAGACCUCAUGGGGAGGAACAGGUCCCCAGCUCUAGCUGAGCUCCCAGCUGACAGCCGGUGCCAAGUUGCUAGCCAGCUGGCUUCCAGUGUGUGCCUGGAAUUAUGCUAGGUGCUGGGAAGACCAGGCUGAACAACAGUGCCACUCAUCACCCUGGACGGGAGGCCACCGGUAUCUACCCAGAGCCUGCAUGCCAACCCCUCCU